AGUGAAAGGAAUUAUAUAUAUUAUAUUUUUUAACCGUACCAGGUGAAUCUAAUUGAACAUUCUUGAAACUUUUGAAUGCUCAUGUCCAACCGUUCAAUCUUUCAGUACAUUUUGCAAAAUUGCC